CGUUCCCUCUGGCGGUAGGCCUAACACAUGCAAGUCGAACGGCAGCACAGUAAGAGCUUGCCCUUACGGGUGGCGAGUGGCGGACGAGUGAGGAAUACAUCGGAAUCUACUUUUUCGUGGGGGAUAACGUAGGGAAACUUACGCUAAUACCGCAUACGACCUACGGGUGAAAGCAGGGGAUCUUCGGACCUUGCGCGACUGAAUGAGCCGAUGUCGGAUUAGCUAGUUGGCGGGGUAAAGGCACACCAAGGCGACGAUCCGUAGCUGGUCUGAGAGGAUGAUCAGCCACACUGGAACUGAGACACGGUCCAGACUCCUACGGGAGGCAGCAGUGGGGAAUAUUGGACAAUGGGCGCAAGCCUGAUCUAGCCAUACCGCGUGGGUGAAGAAGGUCUUCGGGUUGUAAAGCCCUUUUGUUGGGAAAGAAAAGCAGCAGGUUAAACCCCCGCUGUUCUGACGGUACCCAAAGAAUAAGCACCGGCUAACUUCGUG
rnacentral:rRNA from 1 species